CCCGUCCCGCGCGCCCACGUGCAACCCGGAAACUGCCGCCUCCCCCAGGAAUCAUGGGAAAUGUAGUCCGUGGAGGGUGGGCCAUAGCCGCUUAAAGGCGCAGGGUCCCAAGAAUAUGGAGAAAAGAAUGGGAAGGAGGAGGGGAAAUGAAAUAGGCGCCUGGGCCCGUCUGUGACUCUGUACACAAUUGAGGAAACUGGAAGCCAGUGGGGGAAAAUGAGAAUCAGAAGAGGGAACUGAAAGGUGUCUGUUACAGGUGUUGAUGCAUGAAGACGUCUCACUCCCUCUGCAAUGCAGGCGACAAAUGGCCAGCAACAGCAACAAAUGCCACUCUAGUUGUGUCUCUGUGGAAUAGACCAGCCUCAGUUUCUGCUGCCAUCUCUUCUCUUUCUCAUCUUCUCUUUUCUUUUAGGGCUCCUUGAGUUAAAAAGUCCACAGGCACUAGAUGUGUAACUAUCCCCCCAGCCCCCAUGUACUGUGUACAAUACCUGCAAAUAGCAGGUAUUGUACAAUCUACAAAACAUCUGGUCACAAGUCUUUCGGAUAAGGGAGCCUCAAUCUGUAUUAUGUAUCUGACAAGUAUUUUGCAGUAGAAAUACUGUUGGAGAUGCUCAUGUCCCUGAUUAUGUCAUACAAAGUCUCCAUCCCUCAGUUAAGCAAAGAUAAAGUUAAAAAAAAACAGGUUGGUAUAGGAUGUUUCUGAAAGUUAAAUUAAUCCCCAUCUUGCAGACAAAAUCCUACUGCACAAAAGCACAGUCUCCUCUUCCUUUUGAAAGAGUCAGGAUUUGAGAUUGCAGCAAGAUUCACCCCCUCAAUGGUUUUUUUUUUUUUUUUUGCAGCAGAGUUAAUUGCCGGAUACCAUUUAAAAUGUCAUGCUAAGGUAAAUCGUUCUGUUCUCUAUAGUACUUAUGCUAAGUGUAAAAUAAACCAUUUAUACCUGUUUUAAGGCAGUACUAUUGCAUUCUGUUCAUGAUUCAUGUAUCCAUGACAGCUAGGACCAUGCUCCUUAUUUCCUACUUCAAAGAGGACAUUAUGUGGAGAGAAGUUGGAAUGCAGUCCUCUGUUUACAUUUGUCCAUUGUUUCAACAUCUAUUUGAAAGGCUCUCCAGUCCAGGCUAAAUUCAAAUGAAUAUCUACAGUAGACUACAAUAUCUACUAGUACAAAUUAGCUCCUGGGGAGCAGGCAAAGAAAAUAAUAAUUGAGUGGGCUCCUGUUGAUUAGUCCUAUUAGUCCUAGAGUAAAACAUUGUGAUAAUACAUAGCUAAAUCCCAUUUCUUUAAUGGGUCUACUUUAGAUAAGUUUAUCAUCAGAACUUAAAUCAUUUAUUUGCAUUUCUUUCUUUAAAAAAACAUUUUGAAACAUUCAAAUGAAAGGUACAUUUUCCAACACAUUGUCAAUUUCAUAUGCUGUUACAGAAAUCACUUUAAAAGACAUUCCAGCAAUAGAAAAGCUAGAGUGCUAUAUGGCUCAGCAAAAGAAAGCAAUUCCAUGUGCGGCACCAUACAGCAGAUGGCCAUUGACUCUCCAGACUUACUGUGGAACCAUUGCAGUCUUGCCCUCACACACAUUCCAUCCUUGGUAGAUAGCACAAGGGGACGAGUUGGAAGAGCCCGCCUGUUCAACCCCUUACUAUCCAAUAAAUGAAUAUCAAACUAAAA